CUCUCCAGAGGAUUUAUUUUACUGAGAACAAAAACUUAAUGCAAAAAAAAUUCAAUAAUUUUGGCAUCAAAAAAGUCAAUUGUUUGGGUUUUUUGUUUGUUUGUUUGUUUGUUUCUGAGCAUGUCUUUAAAAGCUUUUAGGGAUGAGAGAAAUUGAAUGCAAAGGGGUGUUUUCUAUUCCAAGGCACAUACACACACACAAAAUAAAGCUCACACAAGCAGUGGCCGGAACAAGCAGAGGACACCAGUGCUCAAGCUCUUACGUGGUGCCCGGUGAAGAAGCAAACGCAGCGUCGGUUAGUCAGCAUGCCAUUAGUCCCUGCUGCUCCACAGCUAGCUAGAAAAAUGGAAGCAAAGCCGAUGUCUGUGUUGGAGCUAUCCCCUUCACCAGUGAAGAUGGCUGUGGCUGCUCUCCAGCCUGGUCUACACCCCAGUGAAGCCAAUGUCCUUAUUUGUCUAACGAAGCCUAAUUUAGUUUAUGAAAGGCCACUGCUUUCUUCUUACGAUGGGGAGGUAAAAGAUAACACAAAACUUGGCUGGGGUCAGAUAGGGGCUGGCUGGACAAUGUUUUUUUAAGUGUGUGUGACAGAGGGGAAUGCAGCCUGCAUUGUCCCAUUCACGUGUAACUGGUGACGUGAGAGGAAAAUGCAGAGGCGGAGGCCUGGGUUCAUGAGAAAUGAGAGGGAAGAGCCAAGAUCUGGUUAGAAGGGGGUGGCCAAGCAGGUGACAGGAGCGUCAGGGAAAAGAUGACAGGACAAAUGAUGCACCCCUCUCAGUUCUUACACAGCAGGCAACAUGUCCUGGCUUCUGAGUUAAUCCUCAUGGGGUGAGGUGAGGUAACUGAAGGACCCAAGAGUCAUAGCAGAUGGAACUGGUCACAGUGAGGGGACAGGGAGGACAACUCCUUAGAGGCAACUGAGUUACACUGUCAGCAAGGAAGUGGACCAGAGGCUGGCUAUCAGGCCUCUAUCUCUGCUUUGAGUAGCGGCUGCACUGUCCAUUCACUCCCCUGCCACCUUCAACUGAGGACGUCCUUUCAGACUUGUGCUACCGGUAGUACAAUGUAUAGAGCAAGUUUUCUCAUGGUGAGUCAUGAAAACUUACUAGAAGUAGCCACAUCCUAGAGUCAGCCUCCAAGUCCCCCCUCAGCCUGCUUAAAGCAAAUGCAGGUGUGUGUGCAGAGAGGCUGGAGGGAAGUGGGAAUCCAGCCUCCUUAACCAAAGAUUCUUUAGCCAAGCAGUACCAAAUGAGGUGUUCUUUGAGAUCUGGACCCGUGAGAGUGUCCGGGACGCCCUGGUGGGGGUGAACGUAAUCAUGUUUCUCGUGCCAGUCUGUAGCUGUGGCCUGGCUCUGAAGGUAGGCAUUCAGAUGCAGACUCCAUCCCUAAGACAGUCUAACCAGAUCAUAGGCUCAAGCCAAAUAAACAAACGAUUAAAUGAAAAAGCCAUAGGAGGGGAAAAGCUAUCUCGGAUGCUCACUCAAGUUUCUGCCUACUUUCCAGCCCACCGCUGGCUUGUGGCAAGUGUGAAGAAGAGACAGGUAAUUCUGGAGGUGUGCAAGCACGGG
rnacentral:lncRNA from 1 species